CCUUUGGAUGAUGAAGAGAUGAUUUCAUACAUCCUCAUAAGUCUCAACAUCAAGUACAAUCCAAUCGUGUAUGCUAUCAUAGCACGAGUGGAACCAAUUUCAAUUAGUGAGUUAUAUGCUCAGCUAUUAAGCUUUGAAA